rnacentral:rRNA from 1 species
UACGGGGGGGGGCAAGCGUUGUUCGGAAUUACUGGGCGUAAAGGGCGCGUAGGCGGUUGGAUAAGUCAGCUGUGAAAACCACGAGCUUAACUCGUGGCCUGCAGUUGAGACUGUCUGGCUUGAGUGUGGGAGAGGAGAGUGGAAUUCCUGGUGUAGCGGUGAAAUGCGUAGAUAUCAGGAGGAACACCGGUGGCGAAGGCGGCUCUCUGGACCACAACUGACGCUGAGGCGCGAAAGCUAGGGGAGCAAACAGG